rnacentral:rRNA from 1 species
ACUCCUACGGGAGGCAGCAGUGGGGAAUAUUGCACAAUGGGCGCAAGCCUGAUGCAGCGACGCCGCGUGAGGGAUGGAGGCCUUCGGGUUGUAAACCUCUUUUAUCGGGGAGCAAGCGACG